rnacentral:rRNA from 1 species
CCCUUAGAUGUUCUGGGCUGCACGCGCGCUACACUGACAUGUCCAGCGAGCUCCCAACCUGCUCGGCAAAGAAUGGGUACCCUUUUUAACGCAUGUCGUGAUGGGGAUAGAUUAUUGCAAUUGUUGAUCUUGAACGAGGAAUUCCUAGUAAGUGCAAGUCAUUAGCUUGUGCUGAAUACGUCCCUGCCCUUUGUACACACCGCCCGUCGCACCUACCGAUUGGAUGGUCCGGUGAAGCCUCGGGAUUGUGGUUCUUGCCGCUUUAUUGUGGCGUGACCGCGAGAACUUGUCUAAACCUUAUCAUCUAGAGGAAGGUGAAGUCGUAACA